AUUGGGAGCGCCGCAAGGAGCCCAGAGACAGGUGCUGCAUGGCUGUCGUCAGCUCGUGUCGUGAGAUGUUGGGUUAAGUCCCGCAACGAGCGCAACCCUUGUCCUUAGUUGCCAGCAUUCAGUUGGGCACUCUAAGGAGACCGCCGGUGACAAACCGGAGGAAGGUGGGGAUGACGUCAAGUCAUCAUGGCCUUUAUGACCAGGGCUGCACACGUGUUACAAUGCGCGCUACAAAGCGUCGCGAACCCGCGAGGGGGAGCUAAUCGCAAAAAAGCGCGCUCAGUUCGGAUUGCAGUCUGCAACUCGACUGCAUGAAGCCGGAAUCGCUAGUAAUGGCGCAUCAGAACGGCGCCGUGAAUACGUUCCCGGGCCUUGUACACACCGCCCGUCACAUCACGAAAGUGGGCUGUACUAGAAAUCGCCAAGCUAACCGCAAGGAGGCAGGCGCUCAAGGUAUGGCUCAUGAUUGGGGUGAAGUCGUAACAAGGUAGCCGUAA
rnacentral:rRNA from 1 species